ensembl:lncRNA
AUGCCUUCCUCGGCUCUCACCCCAAAACAACCAACCAAUGGGACAGUACUGGGCUUGACCACUACACCACUCAAGAGCCAGAGAACACUGCUAGACCACUACACCACUCAGAGCCAGAGAACACUGCUAGACCACUACACCACUCAGAGCCAGAGAACACUGCUAGACCACUACACCACUCAGAGCCAGAGAACACUGCUAGACCACUACACCACUCAGAGCCAGAGAACACUACUAGACCACUACACCACUCAGAGCCAGAGAACACUGCUAGACCACUACACCACUCAGAGCCAGAGAACACUGCUAGACCACUACACCACUCAGAGCCAGAGAACACUGCUAGACCCCUAUACCACUCAGAGCAAGAGAACACUGCUAGACCACUACACCACUCAGAGCCAGAGAACACUGCUAGACCCCUAUACCACUCAGAGCCAGAGAACACUGCUAGACCACUACACCACUCAGAGCCAGAGAACACUGCUAGACCACUACACCACUCAGAGCCAGAGAACACUGCUAGACCCCUAUACCACUCAGAGCCAGAGAACACUGCUAGACCCCUAUACCACUCAGAGCCAGAGAACACUGCUAGACCACUACACCACUCAGAGCCAGAGAACACUGCUAGACCACUACACCACUCAGAGCCAGAGAACACUGCUAGACCCCUAUACCACUCAGAGCCAGAGAACACUGCUAGACCACUACACCACUCAGAGCCAGAGAACACUGCUAGACCACUACACCACUCAGAGCCAGAGAACACUGCUAGACCACUACACCACUCAGAGCCAGAGAACACUGCUAGACCACUACACCACUCAGAGCCAGAGAACACUGCUAGACCACUACACCACUCAGAGCCAGAGAACACUGCUAGACCACUACACCACUCAGAGCCAGAGAACACUGCUAGACCCCUAUACCACUCAGAGCCAGAGAACACUGCUAGACCCCUAUACCACUCAGAGCCAGAGAACACUGCUAGACCCCUAUACCACUCAGAGCCAGAGAACACUGCUAGACCACUACACCACUCAGAGCCAGAGAACACUGCUAGACCCCUAUACCACUCAGAGCCAGAGAACACUGCUAGACCCCUACACCACUCAGAGCCAGAGAACACUGCUAGACCACUACACCACUCAGAGCCAGAGAACACUGCUAGACCACUACACCACUCAGAGCCAGAGAACACUGCUAGACCACUACACCACUCAGAGCCAGAGAACACUGCUAGACCACUAUACCACUCAGAGCCAGAGAACACUGCUAGACCACUAUACCACUCAGAGCCAGAGAACACUGCUAGACCCCUAUACCACUCAGAGCCAGAGAACACUGCUAGACCACUACACCACUCAGAGCCAGAGAACACUGCUAGACCACUACACCACUCAGAGCCAGAGAACACUGCUAGACCACUACACCACUCAGAGCCAGAGAACACUGCUAGACCCCUACACCACUCAGAGCCAGAGAACACUGCUAGACCACUACACCACUCAGAGCCAGAGAACACUGCUAGACCACUACACCACUCAGAGCCAGAGAACACUGCUAGACCACUACACCACUCAGAGCCAGAGAACACUGCUAGACCACUAUACCACUCAGAGCCAGAGAACACUGCUAGACCACUAUACCACUCAGAGCCAGAGAACACUGCUAGACCCCUAUACCACUCAGAGCCAGAGAACACUGCUAGACCACUACACCACUCAGAGCCAGAGAACACUGCUAGACCACUACACCACUCAGAGCCAGAGAACACUGCUAGACCACUACACCACUCAGAGCCAGAGAACACUGCUAGACCCCUAUACCACUCAGAGCCAGAGAACACUGCUAGACCACUAUACCACUCAGAGCCAGAGAACACUGCUAGACCACUAUACCACUCAGAGCCAGAGAACACUGCUAGACCCCUAUACCACUCAGAGCCAGAGAACACUGCUAGACCCCUACACCACUCAGAGCCAGAGAACACUGCUAGACCACUACACCACUCAGAGCCAGAGAACACUGAUAGACCACUACACCACUCAGAGCCAGAGAACACUGAGAUUGUGA